AUCGGUGACAGGUGGUGGCAUGGUUGUCGUCAGCUCGUGUCGUGAGAUGUUGGGUUAAGUCCCGCAACGAGCGCAACCCCUAUUGUUAGUUUGCCAUCAUUCAGUUGGGCACUCUAGCGAGACUGCCGGUAAUAAACCGGAGGAAGGUGGGGAUGACGUCAAAUCAUCAUGCCCCUUAUGACCUGGGCUACACACGUGCUACAAUGGUUGGUACAACGAGUUGCGAGUCGGUGACGGCGAGCUAAUCUCUUAAAGCCAAUCUCAGUUCGGAUUGUAGGCUGCAACUCGCCUACAUGAAGUCGGAAUCGCUAGUAAUCGCGGAUCAGCACGCCGCGGUGAAUACCGGUUCCCGGGCCUU
rnacentral:rRNA from 1 species